ensembl:lncRNA
UGUAUAUAUAUAUAUGUGUGUGUGUGUGUGUGUGAACAAUGAGGAAAAGUAAAUGAUGACAAUUUUGAUUUUUGGGUGAAAUGUCUGAAAUGAAAAAGUAACAUGCUUUUAAAGAGCGAAUUUAUUUUGAGUAACAUACUUUAAUAGAAUAUAUUUGAGUGUGAACUUACUUAAUUUACUUAUUAACAUAUAAAUAUAAAAUAUAAAUUUUUGUCCCUCACAAAGGGGUCAUUGAAAAUGGGCCUCAGAUAUGUAAAGUCAUCAAAAAGUUUGAAAACCUCUGCUUUAAAGGAACAUGAAGUGAAAGGUGAAGAGUGUUUACUGUACUAAAUGCAUUACUAGUGAAACUAGCUUUUUAAAAACACUUCCCCAUCUCCCCACACUGCUCUAACUGACUAACAGUUCUGCCCAAACCUUUCUUUUUUUCCCCUUUGUUUUUCUUGUAUUCUUGCAUGGAUAUCAUGUGAAGAUUACUUGGUUUGCCAGAUUUAUAGAAGAAUACAUACAAAAUCCGUCAAGAGAGCUAAAGUUGUACAUUUCUUGAAAGAUCUGCUCAGUGAUUUAUUCUUAUUUGAUUUUGUCCUUUUCCAUGUGAUUUGUUUCAUUCAAUGUGUUUCUGUUGCUAAGAACCCCCCUCCACUCAUGUAUUUUUCUCUCUACAUUCAUUCGCCAGGGCAAGCUAUGAGACUUAAUCAUUGUGUCUACAAUGUCUUCUUCCAUUGUGACAUUGUCUUUCUCUUCUCUCUCAUCUCUCGCUCAUGUGUGUUUGUGCUCAGCACUGGGGAUCUCUAUACUUACUGGACACUGAAGGGCCGCUCUGAUGAGAGAGAUGCUCGAGUGUUUGCUGCCGAAUGGGGAACAUCCUUCUGACUGAGAAAGGUCACCUCUGCUUGACUGAUUUCGGGCUGUCUCGCCAUCUUGAGCGUGGGGCUAGAGCUUUUACUGUCUGCGGCACAAUACAGUACAUAAGUGAGGCCGGAAUCUGAACUGCACUCUUUUUAAACGAGAAAGGACUGUGUUUACCAUCAGCUAUAUCUAGCAGUAACUAAAGACAUGUAUAGCUCUAAGCAAAUGAGCUAUUUCUGUAAUAAUGGAUAUUUAAUUACACGAUGUGGUCAUUAAACAGCUCCUGAGGUCCUGAGCGGCGGCCCGUACAGCCACGCUGCAGACUGGUGGUCUCUUGGCGUUCUUCUCUACGCUUUAGCCACUGCAGGGGUGAGACAUAUCCAGAGGCCAUACUGCAAGAUGAGCAUUGUACUUGAUGGAUGUGCCUCAAUGUGCAGAUCUCAGUGAUGUGUAGAAAGUGCCACAGGCUGCUUAUUCAGACGCUUGCAGUAGGAUUUAUUAAGAGCAUUAAUGAAGAACUAAUACAGGGAAUAGAACCAGAAACACGGAACAGGAGCAUGCACCAGGAAACAAAGACUGACACUGAACAAGGCAAACACAGGGGUAUAUAUACAAGGGGGUGAAACCAAUGAAUCACUAUGACAACAAACGUAGGAGGUAGAAGAGGAAACAGGAAAUAUGCACAGGAAGUGAAAACAGAAACUCUGGGGGCAGAAAAACACUUCAAAUUAAGAAUUCACAGUGAAACAGAAACAGGCUGGAUCAUAACACACAUAUUAUGUGAAAUAUAAAAACGUAAAAAAAAAAGAAGGUAUUUUAUUAAGAUCAUGUGAUGUUUAUGGGUAUACCCAAUAUUUUACUAAUUAAACAAUAAAAUGUUUAAUAUAAAAUAAAAUAUUAAUUUA